ACCUGCUAGACUUUCUUGAAUGGCGGCUGUAAUAGUAGCAUUGAUUUCUUCAAUUCCUUUGGUUACUAUUUGCUUCAUAACAUCGUUCAUCGCAUUUUCAAAACCUUUCUUUAUCUCCGACGCAAUAUAUGUCUUCAGAUGAUCAUUCAUAUUGCUAACAUCUAAGUCUGCUUUCAAUGUCGCUUUUAGACCAUCUAAUAACGGCAUAGUGACGAUAUCAUCACACUUACUAUCGCCACUACACGUAUUUCCAUGUACUUGGAUCAAAAGCAGAGACAAUGUACAUGUAAAGACGACAGUGACCAUUAAAAACACAUGACGUCCUUUUACUUCCAAAAAUGUUUAACCAUUUCAAAUUGUGCUCAAGUUUAUUUAUAAAUGAAGUGGAAAUUGUAUUGGCGUCAUGCGUUUCCGUCCG
rnacentral:lncRNA from 1 species